rnacentral:rRNA from 1 species
UACGUAGGGUGCAAGCGUUGUCCGGAUUUAUUGGGCGUAAAGAGCUCGUAGGCGGUUUGUCGCGUCGGAUGUGAAAACCCAGGGCUCAACCCUGGGCCUGCAUUCGAUACGGGCAAACUAGAGUAUGGCAGGGGAGACUGGAAUUCCUGGUGUAGCGGUGAAAUGCGCAGAUAUCAAGUGGAACACCAGUGGCGAAGGCGAGUCUCUGGACAUUUCCUGACGCUGAGGCACGAAAGCCAGGGGAGCAAACGGG